AGAGUUUGAUCCUGGCUCAGGAUGAACGCUGGCGGCGUGCCUAACACAUGCAAGUCGAACGAAGCUUGACGGAUGAUUUCUUCGGAAUGAAACCUGAUAUGACUUAGUGGCGGACGGGUGAGUAACACGUGAGCAACCUGCCUUUCAGAGGGGGAUAACGGCUGGAAACGGUCGCUAAUACCGCAUGAUGUGUUCGGAUGGCAUCAUCUGAACAUCAAAGAUUUAUCGCUGAAAGAUGGGCUCGCGUCUGAUUAGAUAGUUGGUGGGGUAACGGCCUACCAAGUCUACGAUCAGUAGCCGGACUGAGAGGUUGAACGGCCACAUUGGGACUGAGAUACGGCCCAGACUCCUACGGGAGGCAGCAGUGGGGAAUAUUGCACAAUGGGGGAAACCCUGAUGCAGCAACGCCGCGUGAAGGAUGACGGUUUUCGGAUUGUAAACUUCUUUUCUUAGUGACGAAGACAGUGACGGUAGCUAAGGAAUAAGCAUCGGCUAACUACGUGCCAGCAGCCGCGGUAAUACGUAGGAUGCAAGCGUUAUCCGGAUUUACUGGGUGUAAAGGGAGCGCAGGCGGGACUGCAAGUUGGAUGUGAAAUACCGUGGCUUAACCACGGAACUGCAUCCAAAACUGUAGUUCUUGAGUGAAGUAGAGGCAAGCGGAAUUCCGAGUGUAGCGGUGAAAUGCGUAGAUAUUCGGAGGAACACCAGUGGCGAAGGCGGCUUGCUGGGCUUUAACUGACGCUGAGGCUCGAAAGUGUGGGGAGCAAACAGGAUUAGAUACCCUGGUAGUCCACACUGUAAACGAUGAUAGCUAGGUGUGGGGGGUCUGACCCCUUCCGUGCCGGAGUUAACGCAAUAAGCUAUCCACCUGGGGAGUACGACCGCAAGGUUGAAACUCAAAGGAAUUGACGGGGGCCCGCACAAGCAGUGGAUUAUGUGGUUUAAUUCGAAGCAACGCGAAGAACCUUACCAGGUCUUGACAUCCGACUAACGAGAUAGAGAUAUGUCAGGUGCCCUUCGGGGAAAGUCGAGACAGGUGGUGCAUGGUUGUCGUCAGCUCGUGUCGUGAGAUGUUGGGUUAA
rnacentral:rRNA from 1 species